rnacentral:rRNA from 1 species
AGAGCGAACGCUGGCGGCAGGCCUAACACAUGCAAGUCGAGCGCCCAGCAAUGGGAGCGGCAGACGGGAUAGUAACACGUGGGAACGUACCUUUCAGUUCGGAACAACCCAGGGAAACUUGGGCUAAUACCGAAUACGCCCGUAAGGGGAAAGAUUUAUCGCUGAAAGAUCGGCCCGCGUCUGAUUAGCUAGUUGGUGGGGUAAUGGCCCACCAAGGCGACGAUCAGUAGCUGGUCUGAGAGGAUGAUCAGCAUCACUGGGACUGAGACACGGCCCAGACUCCUACGGGAGGCAGCAGUGGGGAAUAUUGGACAAUGGGCGCAAGCCUGAUCCAGCCAUGCCGCGUGGAUGAUGAAGGCCCUAGGGUUGUAAAGUCCUUUCGGCGGGGAAGAUAAUGACGGUACCCGCAGAAGAAGCCCCGGCUAACUUCGCGCCAGCAGCCGC